rnacentral:rRNA from 1 species
GACGAACGCUGGCGGCGUGCUUAACACAUGCAAGUCGAACGGGCCUGUCUUCUUUUUUGGGGGUGGGUUGAGUGGCGAACGGGUGAGUAUCACGUGAGUAACCUGCCCUUCGGUCCUGGAUAACCGCUUGAAAGGGCGGCUAAUACGGGGUGGUCCGGUUGGUCCGCAUGGGCUGGUCGGGAUAGAUUCACUGUUUUUGGUGUUUCGGCGGGGGAUGGGCUCGCGGCCUAUCAGCUUGUUGGUGGGGUGAUGGCCUACCAAGGCGGUGACGGGUAGCCGGCCUGGGAGGGUGGGCGGCCACACUGGGACUGGGAUACGGCCCAGACUCCUGCGGGAGGCAGCAGUGGGGGGUAUUGCACAAUGGGCGGAAGCCUGAUGCAGCGACGUCGCGUGAGGGAUGGAGGCCUUCGGGUUGUGAACCUCUGUUUCCGGUGGUGAAGGCCCUGUCCGUGUGGUGGGGUUGACGGUAGCCGGGGAUGAAGCGCCGGCUAACUACGUG